CCUAAUGGGAAUCCCUUAGUAACGGCGAGUGAAGCGGGAAGAGCUCAAAUUAUGAAAUCUGGCGGUCUACGGCCGUCCGAGUUGUAGUCUAGAGAAGUGUUUUCCGUGCUGGACCGUGUACAAGUCCCUUGGAAUAGGGCGUCGUAGAGGGUGAGAAUCCCGUCUCUGACACGGACUACCAGUGCUCUGUGAUGCACUCUCGAAGAGUCGAGUUGUUUGGGAAUGCAGCUCAAAAUGGGUGGUAAAUUCCAUCUAAAGCUAAAUAUUGGUGGAAGACCGAUAGCGAACAAGUACCGUGAGGGAAAGAUGAAAAGCACUUUGGAAAGAGAGUUAAACAGUACGUGAAAUUGUUGAAAGGGAAACGCUUGAAGUCAGUCGCGUCCUUCGAGAUUCAGCUUGGCCUUGGCCUGGUGUAUUUCUUGUUGGACGGGCCAGCAUCAAUUUUGACCACUGGAUAAAGGCAGGGGGAAUGUGGCACCUCCGGGUGUGUUAUAGCCCCUUGUUGUAUACAGUGGUUGGGAUUGAGGUCUGCAGCACGCCUUUAUUGGCCGGGGUUCGCCCACGUUACGUGCUUAGGAUGCUGGCGUAAUGGCUUUAAGCGACCCGUCUUGAACACCGGGAAACCAA
rnacentral:rRNA from 1 species